rnacentral:rRNA from 1 species
UUGGGAUAGCCUCGGGAAACCGGGAUUAAUACCGAAUAAAAUCACAGAUACACAUGUAUCCAUGAUCAAAACUCCGGUGGUCUAAGAUGGACUCGCGUCCCAUUAGCUAGUUGGUGAGGUAACGGCCCACCAAGGCGACGAUGGGUAGCCGGCCUGAGAGGGUGAACGGCCACAUUGGAACUGAGAAACGGUCCAAACUCCUACGGGAGGCAGCAGUGGGGAAUAUUGCACAAUGGAGGGAACUCUGAUGCAGCGACGCCGCGUGAACGAAGAAGGCUUUCGAGUCGUAAAGUUCUUUUAUAUGGGAAGAUAAUGACGGUACCAUAAGAAAAAGCCCCGGCUAACUACGUGCCAGCAGCCGCGGUAAUACGUAGGGGGCUAGCGUUGUCCGGAAUCACUGGGCGUAAAGGGUUCGCAGGCGGAAAUGCAAGUCAGAUGUAAAAGGCAGUAGCUUAACUACUGUAAGCAUUUGAAACUGCAUAUCUUGAGAAGAGUAGAGGUAAGUGGAAUUUUUAGUGUAGCGGUGAAAUGCGUAGAUAUUAAAAAGAAUACCGGUGGCGAAGGCGACUUACUGGGCUCAUUCUGACGCUGAGGAACGAAAGCGUGGGUAGCAAACAGGAUUAGAUACCCUGGUAGUCCACGCUGUAAACGAUGAGUGCUAGGUGUCGGCUUA